rnacentral:rRNA from 1 species
GCAUAUCAUAGCGGAGGAAAAAGAAACUACAAAGGAUCCCCUAGUAACGGCGAGUGAAGCGGGAUGAGCUCAAAUUUAAAAAUCUGGCUGGUUUACUAGUCCGAAUUGUAGUUUAUAGAAGCGUUUUCGGUGGCAGCCUGGGUAUAAAUCCUUUGGAAUAGGGUAUCAUAGAGGGUGAGAAUCCCGUCUUUGACUCAGUGCAUGCUACUAUGUGAUACGUUUUCAAAGAGUCGAGUUGUUUGGGAAUGCAGCUCAAAAUGGGUGGUAAAUUUCAUCUAAAGCUAAAUAUUGGCGAGAGACCGAUAGCGAACAAGUACCGUGAGGGAAAGAUGAAAAGAACUUUGAAAAGAGAGUUAAACAGUGCGUGAAAUUGUUGAAAGGGAAACGUUUGACACCAGUUAUGCGGGUGGAAAAUCAGUCUUUUGCAAUGGGGAGUUGUGGGCGUUCAGACCGCAAGGCUGGCGUUUGCUUCAUCUUUGUUGUAAGUGAUGCACUUUUUCAUUUGCAGGUCAACAUCAGUUUGCUUUGCUGGACAAAACCCCAAGGGAAGGUGGCAGCUUAGGCUGUGUUAUAGCCCUGGGGCGAUACAGUGGAGUGGACUGAGGUUUCGCAGUGUGUGCUCUCGGGCAAGGCUGACUGGGUGCUAUGGGAUCGUUCGGCGUACAAUGCAUGCAUUUUGCGUCGUGUCUUUUUCAUACUCGCUCAACUCGGCUCUUCCACACUUAGGAUGUUGACUUAAUGGUUUUAAACGACCCGUCUUGAAACACGGACCAAGGAGUCUAACAUAUAUGCAAGUGUUUGGGUGGCAAACCCAUGCGCGUAAUGAAAGUGAACGUAGGUGCGAUCCGCAAGGUGCAGCAUCGACCGAUCUUGAUAUUUUUUGGAUAGAUUUGAGUAAGAGCAUAUAUGCUGGGACCCGAAAGAUGGUGAACUAUGCCUGAAUUAGGGGUGAAGCCAGAGGAAACUCUGGUGGAGGCUCGUAGCGAUUUCUGACGUGCAAAUCGAUCGUCAAAUUUGGGUAUAGGGGGCGAAAGACUAAUCGAAACCAUCUAGUUAGCUGGGUUCCUGCCGA